CCUACGGGAGGCAGCAGUAGGGAAUCUUGCGCAAUGGGCGGAAGCCUGACGCAGCGACGCCGCGUGCGGGAUGACGGCCUUCGGGUUGUAAACCGCUUUCAGCUCCGGCGAAGCGAGAGUGACGGUAGGAGCAGAAGAAGCCCCGGCCAACUACGUGCCAGCAGCCGCGGUAAUACGUAGGGGGCGAGCGUUGUCCGGAAUUAUUGGGCGUAAAGAGCUCGUAGGUGGCUGUUCGAGUCGGCCGUGAAAACUCGGGGCUCAACCCCGAGCCGGCGGUUGAUACUGGGCGGCUUGAGUCUGGUAGGGGGAUCUGGAACUCCUGGUGUAGCGGUGGAAUGCGCAGAUAUCAGGAAGAACACCGGUGGCGAAGGCGGGAUCCUGGGCCAGUACUGACACUGAGGAGCGAAAGCGUGGGGAGCAAACAGGAUUAGAUACCCCAG
rnacentral:rRNA from 1 species